rnacentral:rRNA from 1 species
UACGGGGGGGGCAAGCGUUGUUCGGAAUUACUGGGCGUAAAGGGCUCGUAGGUGGCCAACUAAGUCAGACGUGAAAUCCCCCGGCUUAACCGGGGAACUGCGUCUGAUACUGGAUGGCUAGAGUGUGGGAGAGGGAUGCGGAAUUCCAGGUGUAGCGGUGAAAUGCGUAGAUAUCUGGAGGAACACCGGUGGCGAAGGCGGCGACCUGGUCCGUGACUGACGCUGAGGCGCGAAAGCGUGGGGAGCAAACAGG